GAUGAACGCUGGCGGCGUGCCUAAUACAUGCAAGUCGAGCGAACAGACGAGGAGCUUGCUCCUCUGACGUUAGCGGCGGACGGGUGAGUAACACGUGGAUAACCUACCUAUAAGACUGGGAUAACUUCGGGAAACCGGAGCUAAUACCGGAUAAUAUAUUGAACCGCAUGGUUCAAUAGUGAAAGACGGUUUUGCUGUCACUUAUAGAUGGAUCCGCGCCGCAUUAGCUAGUUGGUAAGGUAACGGCUUACCAAGGCAACGAUGCGUAGCCGACCUGAGAGGGUGAUGGGCCACACUGGAACUGAGACACGGUCCAGACUCCUACGGGAGGCAGCAGUAGGGAGUCUUCCGAAAUGGGCGAAAGCCUGACGGAGCAACGCGGGGUGAGUGAUGAAGGUCUUCGGAUCGUAAAACUCUGUUAUUAGGGAAGAACAAAUGUGUAAGUAACUAUGCACGUCUGGACGGUACCUAAUCAGAAAGCCACGGCUAACUACGU
rnacentral:rRNA from 1 species